rnacentral:rRNA from 1 species
GAUGAACGCUGGCGGCGUGCCUAAUACAUGCAAGUCGAACGCAUUGAGAGAAGUGCUUGCACUUUUCAAUUUGAGUGGCGAACGGGUGAGUAACACGUGGGCAACCUACCUGAUAGCGGGGGAUAACGAGUGGAAACAUUCGCUAAUACCGCAUAACAAUAGAGAAGGCAUCUUCUUUAUUUAAAAGGCGCUUUCAAGCGUCACUAUCAGAUGGGCCCGCGGUGCAUUAGUUAGUUGGUGGGGUGAAGGCCUACCAAGACGAUGAUGCAUAGCCGAGUUGAGAGACUGAUCGGCCACAUUGGGACUGAGACACGGCCCAAACUACUACGGGAGGCUGCAGUAGGGAAUCUUCCGCAAUGGACGAAAGUCUGAUGGAGCAACGCCGCGUGUGUGAUGAAGGCUUUCGGGUCGUAAAGCACUGUUGUAUGGGAAGAAAUGCUAGGCUAGGAAAUGAGCUUAGUUUGACGGUACCAUACCAGAAAGGGACGGCUAAAUACGUGCCAGCCGCCGCGGUAA